rnacentral:rRNA from 1 species
GGCUCAGAUUGAACGCUGGCGGCAUGCCUUACACAUGCAAGUCGAACGGCAGCACGGGGCAACCUGGUGGCGAGUGGCGAACGGGUGAGUAAUGCAUCGGAACGUGCCAUUGAGUGGGGAUAACGUAGCGAAAGUUGCGCUAAUACCGCAUAUUCUGUGAGCAGGAAAGCAGGGGGACCGCAAGGCCUUGCGCUCUUUGAGCGGCCGAUGUCAGAUUAGCUAGUUGGUGAGGUAACGGCUUACCAAGGCGACGAUCUGUAGCGGGGUCUGAGAGGAUGAUCCGCCACACUGGAACUGAGACACGGUCCAGACUCCUACGGGAGGCAGCAGUGGGGAAUUUUGGACAAUGGGCGCAAGCCUGAUCCAGCCAUGCCGCGUGAGUGAAGAAGGCCUUCGGGUUGUAAAGCUCUUUCGGCCGGGAAGAAAUCGCAUGGGUUAAUACCCUGUGUGGAUGACGGUACCGGAAUAAGAAGCACCGGCUAACUACGUG